CCACAUCACGUUGAAAUAUUGGUUCCCGUACGAUCACCGAAGUUAAGCAAUGUCAAGUCUGGUUGGCACGUAGAUGGGUGACCACUUGUGAAUACCAGAUGUUGUAAG